UAAGCAGUAAGGCUGAGUAUUAGGCAAAUCCGGUACUCGUUAAGGCUGAGCUGUGAUGGGGAGAAGACAUUGUGUCUUCGAGUCGUUGAUUUCACACUGCCGAGAAAAGCCUCUAGAUAGAAAAUAGGUGCCCGUACCGCAAACCGACACAGGUAGUCAAGAUGAGAAUUCUAAGGUGAGCGAGCGAACUCUCGUUAAGGAACUCGGCAAAAUGACCCCGUAACUUCGGGAGAAGGGGUGCUCUUUAGGGUUAACGCCCAGAAGAGCCGCAGUGAAUAGGCCCAAGCGACUGUUUAUCAAAAACACAGGUCUCUGCUAAACCGUAAGGUGAUGUAUAGGGGCUGACGCCUGCCCGGUGCUGGAAGGUUAAGAGGAGUGGUUAGCUUCUGCGAAGCUACGAAUCGAAGCCCCAGUAAACGGCGGCCGUAACUAUAACGGUCCUAAGGUAGCGAAAUUCCUUGUCGGGUAAGUUCCGACCCGCACGAAAGGCGUAACGAUUUGGGCACUGUCUCAACGAGAGACUCGGUGAAAUCAUAGUACCUGUGAAGAUGCAGGUUACCCGCGACAGGACGGAAAGACCCCGUGGAGCUUUACUGUAGCCUGAUAUUGAAAUUCGGCACAGCUUGUACAGGAUAGGUAGGAGCCUUUGAAACGUGAGCGCUAGCUUACGUGGAGGCGCUGGUGGGAUACUACCCUAGCUGUGUUGGCUUUCUAACCCGCACCACUUAUCGUGGUGGGAGACAGUGUCAGGCGGGCAGUUUGACUGGGGCGGUCGCCUCCUAAAAGGUAACGGAGGCGCUCAAAGGUUCCCUCAGAAUGGUUGGAAAUCAUUCAUAGAGUGUAAAGGCAUAAGGGAGCUUGACUGCGAGACCUACAAGUCGAGCAGGGUCGAAAGACGGACUUAGUGAUCCGGUGGUUCCGCAUGGAAGGGCCAUCGCUCAACGGAUAAAAGCUACCCCGGGGAUAACAGGCUUAUCUCCCCCAAGAGUUCACAUCGACGGGGAGGUUUGGCACCUCGAUGUCGGCUCAUCGCAUCCUGGGGCUGUAGUCGGUCCCAAGGGUUGGGCUGUUCGCCCAUUAAAGCGGUACGCGAGCUGGGUUCAGAACGUCGUGAGACAGUUCGGUCCCUAUCCGUCGUGGGCGUAGGAAAUUUGAGAGGAGCUGUCCUUAGUACGAGAGGACCGGGAUGGACAUACCUCUGGUGUACCAGUUGUCGUGCCAACGGCAUAGCUGGGUAGCUAUGUGUGGACGGGAUAAGUGCUGAAAGCAUCUAAGCAUGAAGCCCCCCUCAAGAUGAGAUUUCCCAACUUCGGUUAUAAGAUCCCUCAAAGAUGAUGAGGUUAAUAGGUUCGAGGUGGAAGCAUGGUGACAUGUGGAGCUGACGAAUACUAAUCGAUCGAAGAC
rnacentral:rRNA from 1 species